GACGGGGGGGGCAAGUGUUCUUCGGAAUGACUGGGCGUAAAGGGCUCGUAGGCGGUGAAUCGGGUUGAAAGUGAAAGUCGCCAAAAAGUGGCGGAAUGCUCUCGAAACCAAUUCACUUGAGUGAGACAGAGGAGAGUGGAAUUUCGUGUGUAGGGGUGAAAUCCGUAGAUCUACGAAGGAACGCCAAAAGCGAAGGCAGCUCUCUGGGUCCCUACCGACGCUGGGGUGCGAAAGCAUGGGGAGCGAACAGG
rnacentral:rRNA from 1 species